CUUCCACGGAAUGUUCUCCAAAAUCUGCAAAAUGACAGCAAAACUCGCUCAGCAAGAACAGGGCAGAAGGCAGACUUCAGGCAGUGGGGCGAAGUUACACCACUGAAUGGCCGAUUAACAAAGGUUGGAUUUCAUGACUUAGUUUCCUGAACAGAUGAAGAAAAGCAUUCUCAGUUGCUCAGAUAAGUAGAGUCUUCCCCUCUCAUCAAGGAAACUUCUCUUUGCAACAUAUGGAGACCUUUACAGAAAACCGUAGCCCAUCAAAAUGCAGAGUUGUGGAUCCUAGUCCCAGUGAGCACAUCUACAAAACAUCUCCUGUGCCUAGAGUUGAGGGAACGCUGGAGAAGAGGGGGAAGGAAGACUGUGAGAGCCAGAGGGUCAGGGAUUGGCUGUGAGGUUUUGUCACCUAGUAGUGGCUACACCCAUAAAUCCCCCCAACAUGACUUCAGUGUUAGAUGAACCUGCAUGACACCAACGACCAGGUCAAAGUGAACAGAGAAAAGUCCGUGAGGACUGAGCUCCACACAAAGAACUACAAGCAACUAAGGAAUGCUGGGAGCGGGAGAGUUGGAGCACACCAAUGGGCUGUCCAAUGGCAAAUGGUCAGCCUGGAAACAUAGAUACAAGUGACAUUAUACGAACUGAGCAGAUUACAUUUGAGAGUAUGUGUAUGUAUCUACACACACAUAUAUAUGUGCAAUCACAAUCAGUGAAAAAGGUGGCCAUGGAUUUGAAGGAGAGUAGGAAGAGGUAUAUGGAAGUCUCGGAAGGAGGAAAGGGAGGAAGAAAAUGUUGUAAUUACAUUAUAAUCUCAAAAAAGGAAAAAAAGAAUAAUAAAUCUUCAUAUCUACAA